rnacentral:rRNA from 1 species
UACGUAGGGGGCAAGCGUUGUCCGGAUUUAUUGGGCGUAAAAGGCUUGUAGGUGGCCACGCCAAGUCGGAUGUGAAAUCUCCCGGCUCAACUGGGAGGGGUCAUUCGAUACUGGCGGGCUCGAGGCCGGUAGGGGGAAGUGGAAUUCCCGGUGUAGUGGUGGAAUGCGUAGAUAUCGGGAGGAACACCAGUGGCGAAGGCGGCUUCCUGGACCGGGUUCUGACAC